GACGAACGCUGGCGGCGUGCCUAAUACAUGCAAGUAGAACGCUGAAGAGGGGAGCUUACUCUUCUUGGAUGAGUUGCGAACGGGUGAGUAACGCGUAGGUAACCUGCCUUGUAGCGGGGGAUAACUAUUGGAAACGAUAGCUAAUACCGCAUAACAAUGGAUGACACAUGUCAUUUAUUUGAAAGGGGCAAUUGCUCCACUACAAGAUGGACCUGCGUUGUAUUAGCUAGUAGGUGAGGUAAUGGCUCACCUAGGCGACGAUACAUAGCCGACCUGAGAGGGUGAUCGGCCACACUGGGACUGAGACACGGCCCAGACUCCUACGGGAGGCAGCAGUAGGGAAUCUGCAGCAAUGGGGGCAACCCGGACCGAGCAACGCCGCGUGAGUGAGGAAGGUGUUCGGAUCGUAAAGCUCUGUUGUAAGUCAAGAACGGGUGUGAGAGUGGAAAGUUCACACUGUGACGGUAGCUUACCAGAAAGGGACGGCUAACUACGUG
rnacentral:rRNA from 1 species